CAUUUAACCAAUAAGCAUUCAUUCAUUAGUCUCAGCCAGUCGAGCUCGUCGGUCGCCAUCGCCACCUCUAACCGCCGCCGUCGCCGCCGGCCCGCAGUGGUGCCACAAAACCGGUGACCCCUACUCCCCCUCUUUCCUCUCCCCUCUCUCCCGCUCUGCCUCUCCCUUCGCCACUUCUACCCUGCUGAGGGUGUCGCCUAUGGAUCUCCCCCGUCCUCCGUGUGGGUGCGCAGCGGCGGUGGUGCGCCUGGCGGCAGCUGAUGCGCACAACAAAGUGUUCCCUAGUUAAGUGUGCCGAGCCGGAGGGGAUGGCAGUCGACGCAGCUUUGCGGCUGUUGUGGCAACCGGUGCGUCGGUGCCCCUCUGGAGGGGUUUGCGCAGAGGCUAGGGCAGUGGAGACGGCGGAGGCUACCUGCUUUGACCUGGGAUCCUGGCCUUUCGAUGUGCUGGAUGGCAUCUUGGGCGAAAACCUUGGCGAUGGUGACAUCCGUGGACGCCACUUCCCCCUGUUGAGGGCGUCGCAUUGCUAUGUCUUCCAGUUCGUCUUGACCUCGAAGUUACCUUCAGUUCAUGCUUUCGCUUCUCGACGUCUGGUUUGUGGGUGGAGGUGGGGUUUUCUGCAACUUGAAGUCGAAGCUGCCACAUUAAGGGAUGUGGCUCGGCAAUGAUGACAUGAGGCGAGCCCCCCUUCCUCGUGGUCUGGACUGUUUUGGAGGUCGGGCAAAUAACCGGAGGUGGGUAUUGGAUCAAGAUUGCUGAUGAAGAAUCAGAGCUGCCUCGAGUGUAGGUGUGUCGAGGCUUCGCAACGAUGGCGCGUCGCGGUCUUCCUCCUUUUGUCCAAGGUUUUGGUGUAUGCGUCGUCGUGUUUCUUUUGGCGUUGUGCGGCCCGUCUGGCGAAGUCGUACAUUGUGUUGAGCUCAACAACAAUGACUCUGGAAGGGCUUUGUAUUUGGGGUUGCCGCUGCCUGUGUUGUUUAGACACUAUGUGUCGGCGGUGAGUGUUGUGCCGUAUUUAUGAUGCCCAGACCCCUUGGUCUUUGCAC